GCGCAAUGUCGGCUCACCGUAACCUCCGCCUCCCAGGUUCAAGCGAUUCUCCUGCCUCAGCCUCCCUAGUAGCUGGGAUUACAGGCAUGUGCCACCACGUCCGGCUAAUUUUGUAUUUUUCGUAGAGACGGGGUUUCUCCAUGUUGGUCAGGCUGGUCUCGAACUCCUGACCUCAGGUGAUCCGCCCUCCUCGGCCUCCCAAAGUGUUGGGAUUACAGGCGUGAGCCACUGCGCCCGGCCCAUUCUGCCUCUCUUACUGCCAAGUAUUCUAGAGCCAUCUUCCGGCUGCAGGGAAUGUGAACUGAAGAGAAAGGUGUCCUCUCUUCUCAUAAAGAGACCCAAAGACGAAUGCCCCGCAGGGUGAAGGUACGCUCGAGCAUGGUCAUUGAGGACAAGUCGACAAGAGAUCCCGAGUACGUCUACAGUCAGCCUUAUGGUAAGCUUGUGCGCUCGGAAGAAGCUAGGGUGAUAAUGGGGCAAACUAAAAGUAAAUAUGCCUCUUAUCUCAGCUUUAUUAAAAUUCUUUUAAAA
rnacentral:lncRNA from 1 species